CGGGGUGCAGCAGGCGCGAAAACUUUGCAAUAAUCGAAAGCUUGACAGGGCUAUCCCGAGUGCCAUCCGCUGAGGAAGGCUUUUACCCAGUCUAGAACGCUGGGGGAAUAAGGAGAGGGCAAGUCUGGUGUCAGCCGCCGCGGUAAUACCAGCUCUCCGAGUGGUGUGGAUGUUUAUUGGGCCUAAAGCAUCCGUAGCUGGCUAAGUUAGUCCCUUGUUAAAUCCACCGAAUUAAUCGUUGGAUUGCGGGGGAUACUGCUUGGCUAGGGGACGAGAGAGGCAGACGGUAUUUCCGGGGUAGGGGUGAAAUCCUAUAAUCCCGGGAAGACCACCAGUGGCGAAGGCUGUCUGCUAGAACGCGCCCGACGGUGAGGGAUGAAAGCUGGGGGAGCGAACCGGAUUAGAUACCCGGGUAGUCCCAGCUGUAAACGAUGCAGGCUAGGUGUUUGGACGGCCACGUGCCGUUCUAGUGCCGCAGGGAAGCUGUUAAGCCUGCCGCCUGGGGAGUACGAUCGCAAGAUUGAAACUUAAAGGAAUUGGCGGGGGAGCAC
rnacentral:rRNA from 1 species